CACGUCAGUGCGACCUGCUGACGUGGAAGGAAAUCGCGUCCUUAAGGGAGCGGUUUCCUUCCACAUCAGCAGGUCGCGCUGACGUGG
rfam:Gossypium raimondii Chr01_contig_981, whole genome shotgun sequence.